GUGUCGUGAGAUGUUGGGUUAAGUCCCGCAACGAGCGCAACCCCUGUCCCAUGUUGCCAGCGGGUCAUGCCGGGGACUCGUGGGAGACUGCCGGGGUCAACUCGGAGGAAGGUGGGGAUGACGUCAAGUCAUCAUGCCCCUUAUGUCCUGGGCCGCAAACAUGCUACAAUGGCCGGUACAGAGGGCUGCGACCCCGCGAGGGUGAGCGAAUCCCAAAAAGCCGGUCUCAGUUCGGAUCGUAGUCUGCAACUCGACUGCGUGAAGUCGGAGUCGCUAGUAAUCGCAGAUCAGCCACGCUGCGGUGAAUACGUUCCCGGGCCU
rnacentral:rRNA from 1 species